GAUGAACGCUGGCGGCGUGCCUAAUACAUGCAAGUCGAGCGAACAGAUGAGGAGCUUGCUCCUCUGACGUUAGCGGCGGACGGGUGAGUAACACGUGGAUAACCUACCUAUAAGACUGGGAUAACUUCGGGAAACCGGAGCUAAUACCGGAUAAUAUAUUGAACCGCAUGGUUCAAUAGUGAAAGACGGUUUUGCUGUCACUUAUAGAUGGAUCCGCGCCGCAUUAGCUAGUUGGUAAGGUAACGGCUUACCAAGGCAACGAUGCGUAGCCGACCUGUGAGGGUGAUCGGCCACACUGGAACUGAGACACGGUCCAGACUCCUACGGUAGGCAGCAGUAGGGAAUCUUCCGCAAUGGGCGAAAGCCUGACGGAGCAACGCCGCGUGAGUGAUGAAGGUCUUCGGAUCGUAAAACUCUGUUAUUAGGGAAGAACAAAUGUGUAAGUAACUAUGCACGUCGUGACGGUACCUAAUCAGAAAGCCACGGCUAACUACGUG
rnacentral:rRNA from 1 species